GGGCGAGUGGUGGAAUGGCAUACACGAUGGACUUAAAAUCCAUUGGCUUAACGGCCGUAAGGGUUCGAAUCCCUUCUCGCCCA
rnacentral:tRNA from 1 species